GGAGUUAGCCGGUGCUUCUUCUGUGAGUGAUGUCCUUCCUGCCGGCUAUUAACCCGCAGGCCUUCUUCCUCACUGAAAGUGCUUUACAACCCGAAGGCCUUCUUCACACACGCGGCAUGGCUGGAUCAGGGUUGCCCCCAUUGUCCAAUAUUCCCCACUGCUGCCUCCCGUAGGAGUCUGGGCCGUGUCUCAGUCCCAAUGUGGCCGUCCAACCUCUCAGUCCGGCUACCGAUCGUUGGUUUGGUGAGCCAUUACCUCACCAACUGCCUAAUCGGACGCGAGCCCAUCCUCAAGCGGAUUUCUCCUUUGACCCCUUCGCCACUCGGCGUUGUGGUCUUAUGCGGUAUUAGCACCUAUUUCUAAGUGUUAUCCCCCUCUUGAGGGCAGGUUGCUCACGUGUUACUCACCCGUUCGCCACUGAUCCAUCGCUUCCGCACCCGAAGGUGCUUCCGCAAUUUCUCCGUUCGACUUGCAUGUGUUAAGCGCGCCGCCAGCGUUGUCCUGAGCCAUAAUCAAACUCUGA
rnacentral:rRNA from 1 species